UAUAUACUCCCUCUAUCCCAAAAUUCUUGUCUUAGAUUUGUCUAGAUAUGGAUGUACCUAAUACUAAAACAUGUCUUGAUACAUCCGUAUUUAGACAAAUCUAAGACAAUAAUUUUAGGAUGGAGAGAGUAUCAU
rnacentral:pre_miRNA from 1 species